AAUAGACCAAGCCAGUCUGGACCCGCAUUUUCCAGGUCCCUACCCAAAACUGCCCACAGGUCUCUCUGCAGGGAGAAGGCUUCCUGGUCAGAAGCUGUCCAUAAGGAGCAAACUCUUCCACUGCUGCCCCCCAAGGCUGAGGCUCUGCCCUGCACUCCACCCUGCAGACUCAAGUGGGCUCAAUGUAAUGAGUCCUUCCUUCAGAAAGAGAGAGAUGAGAUGUACCCCUGGACAUUGGAGACAACUGCCUUUAUUCCUUUCCUGUGUGUACUGUCAAGAUCAGGAUGAGUGCUGUCUGUUUGCUCUGGCUAAGCCUACAGCCCAGGAUGGAAACUCUGAACUCAUGAAGUAUGAGCCUGAAAGACAGCAAGUUGGAGCCAUGGAAACCCUACCAAGUGUGAGGUGCCUUGAUGCGCCAUGGAGAAAAAGUCACAGUCCCAGAGCUGGAUGGCUUACAUGCCACAUACAGAAGCUGGUGAGUAAAAUAAGAAGAUACAAUGCAGAUAUGAGAAAUAAUAAGCACAGAGCCUGUGGGAGUUGAGAAGAGGUGGCAUCAAGGACGCCUUCCUGGAGGAAGGGACAUCUAACAACUGAGAGCACACGUUACCUCACUCUGAAAUGAAAGCAUGGCCAAGGUGGUCAAGGGAAGGGACCCUGAAAGGGAUCAGCCUCCUCAAGUCAGGUCACAGCAAGCCAUCACCCUGACUCCUCCUCCCCCUCUUCAGGAAAUUCAGAAUCCAUGGAAGGAAUCUGAGGCGGAAGAGAAUGUGGAAUUCAAUGACUUUAAAAAAAAAAACAGCCUUCAGCACCUCUCCACAACCACCAUCCCCUCCUCUCCAGUUCUGCAGGAAAAAAUCAUAAGGUGACAUUUAUUGAC